rnacentral:tRNA from 3 species
GUGUCUGAAGCCAAAGCGGUCGCGGCGCUGGUUUGUGGAACCAGUCAUUAGGGAGUUCAAGCCUCCUCAGACACCCC